rnacentral:rRNA from 1 species
CAUUACAGAAGGAUAUCGCCCUCGGGCUUCUCUUCUCACCCUUUGUUUACCACACGUAGUUGCCUUGGCGCUCCGCGCCAGUGGAUCGAAACUCCUGAAUCAUUGCCGUCUGAGUACUAUUCAAUAGUUAAAACUUUCAACAACGGAUCUCUUGGUUCUGGCAUCGAUGAAGAACGCAGCGAAAUGCGAUAAGUAAUGUGAAUUGCAGAAUUUAGUGAAUCAUCGAAUCUUUGAACGCACAUUGCGCCCUCCGGUAUUCCGGGGGGCAUGCCUGUUCGAGCGUCAUUACAACCCUCAAGCUCUGCUUGGUGUUGAGCCCGCCCCGGCCUGCCCGGGGCUCGCUUCAAAGUCAGUGGCGGCCGCCGUCCGACCUUCAGCGCAGUAAUGCUCGCCGCUGUUAGGGAAGGGUAGCCAGGGCCGUCAUACAACCCCCACACACAAGGUUGACCUCGGAUCAGGUAGGGAUACCCGCUGAACUUAAGCAUAUCAAUAAGCGGAGGAAAAGAAACCAACAGGGAUUGCCUCAGUAACGGCGAGUGAAGCGGCAACAGCUCAAAUUUGAAAGCUGGCUCCUUCGGGGCCCGCGUUGUAAUUUGUAGAGGACGCUUCGGGCGCGGCACCGGUCUAAGUUCUCUGGAACGAGACGUCAUAGAGGGUGAGAAUCCCGUAUGUGACUGGCUGCCUGUGCCCAUGUGAAGCUCCUUCGACGAGUCGAGUUGUUUGGGAAUGCAGCUCAAAAUGGGAGGUGUACUCCUUCUAAAGCUAAAUAUUGGCCAGAGACCGAUAGCGCACAAGUAGAGUGAUCGAAAGAUGAAAAGCACUUUGGAAAGAGAGUUAAACAGUACGUGAAAUUGUUGAAAGGGAAGCGCUUGCAAUCAGACUUGCGCGGCGUCGAUCAGCCUGGGUUCUCCCUGCUCCACUCGGCGCCGCUCAGGCCAGCAUCAGUUUCGGCGGUGGGAUAAAGGCCUAGGGA